AAGGCUCUUCCGCUCCUUCUUGCAGGCAUGCUCAGCACCUGGAUUGCUAAUACAAUAGAAAUGAAUAUUUAAUACCUGCGUAGUGGGGAGGAGGGCAUGGGCGUAACGCUUCCGAUCUGAAUUCACGCAGCCGCCUUUCGGAACUGGAAUCGUUAGACGAAGCCUCUACAAGAGCCGGUAUUUUCUUCAGCGACGGUUUCCCCUCUGCCUUUCGCGACUAGAGUUGCAACAUAUCCCACCUUUGCCUACAUGACUGCAUGCUAGCACUAAAACCAGGACCUUGCCCUAGGGAUGUCCAAAGAUGCUCAGGGCUGCUCCCAUGCAUGCUCUGUGCGGCAGUCGCUGCCUGGUAGCUUUCCUGGCCGCUUGUUCCUGGGAAGUGGGGGGUGUGCAGGGGAGCUCGCCAGGCUCAGGGCGCUUGGACUUGGGGUGAGAGCCGGGCGCUGGAGGGCCCGAUCCCGCAGCCCGGGGCUCAGUCCCCCCAACCCCCAGUGCCCUCUGGACUGUCGCAUCAGCCUUGUGCCUCCCCCCGCCUCCUCCAGCAUCUUCUAACCUGUCUGCCCCGCUCUGCCCCCGCCCGCGCCUCCGAGCCCUGGGAUAUUCGGUUUCUUUUCCUUUCUCAAUGUGUGUUCCUGAUGUGGUCCUGUCGGAAAAGCUCGUUUACUCUGCCCGGGUCUCCAGUGGUUUAAGGAUAAUGUUUAUCAGAAGUGAACGUGCUCAACUUGUUUCCAUUUAACUGCUGAGUGCGGGCUGAAAUAACAAAGGUCACAUCCACAGUGAGUCGGCAGAGGGCAGGGGGAGCCGCGAGGGGGAGGAAAACAUUAUCAUAUACAACGGCCUGUUGAUCGCGGGGACCUGCCUGGCAAAAAGAUUAAUUUCAGCUCUCAGGUGGCAGCACUAGCUGGGGGUUGCGGCUCACUGAGACACCCCCGCGCGCGUGCACCCCACCCCGCGUGGGCGGUAGAAACCGCCCGUGGAUCUACGCACGCUGCGAUUUCCACGCGGACUUUCCGGGCCCGACCCUGGCGCCUUUUCCGCUGCAUUGCAAAGCGGCCGAAAGAAACGACAAAGCCUCCCGCUUGUUCCCAAUGUGCUGCUUUUCGUUGAUCUUUAAAGGAACCCAAAUCACCUCCCCCGCCCCGCCAGUACAGACAGUGAUUGGAUUGAGCACGAGCUCAAAUAAGGCAUAACGGGCGAGAUCUUUUAUUGAAAACGCUUUCGUGCGGAGCACGCCUAACGCCGACUCUCGGCGAGAGGCAGUUUCCUGGAUGUGCUUCAGCGGCUGGAAAAGCCUGGCAUGGGUGUCACUCCGGGCCCCCCGCGGCGCAGAGACACGCGAUGCAGGCCCGCGCCGCGCGGGGAGGCGAUGCACUGCAGCUCCCGC